UCAGUGUCCGAGCGCUCACAGACC
rnacentral:piRNA from 1 species